UCGAACGAGAAAGGUCCUUCGGGGCUAAGUAAAGUGGCGCACGGGUGAGUAACACGUGGGUAACGUACCCUCGGGUGGGAAUAAUGGGCCGAAAGGCUCGCUAAUACCGCAUAAGACCACGGCCCUUGCGGGGGCAGGGGGUCAAAGGGGGCUGUUUUCGGACAGCUCUCGCCUGAGGAGCGGCUCGUGGACCAUUAGCUUGUCGGUGGGGUAAUGGCCUACCAAGGCUACGAUGGUUAGCUGGUCUGAGAGGAUGAUCAGCCACACUGGAACUGGAACACGGUCCAGACUCC
rnacentral:rRNA from 1 species